AAUUAAAAUUCAGCAUCAGAUCGUUUAUGAUUGUUUCUUCCUUGUUCUGCUCUGGUUGACUCGGGGAGAGGUGGUUUUGAUAAGAGAGUGACAUCGUUCAUUAGGGUCUAACAAGUGGCACUGUGAUAAAAUGAUUAAUGAAUUUAAAAAUACCUGUGAAGUAAAGAGAAUGGAAACUUAUCAAAAGAAGAAAGAAUUGGAUAAAUUACAAACUAAAAUGUCAAAAAUAAAAGAAACAGUUACUGUUUCCGCAGCGGUUCUUAGUGAUCACAGUUCAGAGAUAGCACGACUACACGAAUCAAUAAGGUAUUGGGAACAACAGGUCAGUGAGCUAAAGAAAGCCCUUGCAAUUCUGGAGGCAAAACUGUGUUUUUUCACAGAUAACAAAGAAAAACUAGAUGAUAUAUCUAAUGAUGAAAAAAAUGAAUUCCUGAACAAGAUAAAACAGGUAAGAAGGCAGAAGUCAUGACUUUUACAUUAUAAUUGCAUUUCAUUUUCAGUUAAUAUUUAAAAUAUGUGAGAAAUAUAGAAUUUUUCAAAAGGAUAUUUUUCAUUUACCAAUAAUAUGGUUGUUUGUAGUAAUUUAAAAAAUUUUAUCUCCUCCCAAAGUACUUUAAUUAUAUUAAAGAGC
rnacentral:sRNA from 1 species